AUUGAACGCUGGCGGAAUGCUUUACACAUGCAAGUCGAGCGGCAGCACGGGGGCAACCCUGGUGGCGAGCGGCGAACGGGUGAGUAAUACAUCGGAACAUGCCCAGUCGUGGGGGAUAACACUUCGAAAGAAGUGCUAAUACCGCAUACAUCCUGAGGGGGAAAGCGGGGGAUCGCAAGACCUCGCGCGAUUGGAGUGGCCGAUGUCAGAUUAGCUAGUUGGUGGGGUAAAGGCCUACCAAGGCAACGAUCUGUAGCUGGUCUGAGAGGAUGAUCAGCCACACUGGGACUGAGACACGGCCCAGACUCCUACGGGAGGCAGCAGUGGGGAAUGUUGGACAAUGGGGGCAACCCUGAUCCAGCCAUUCCGCGUGAGUGAAGAAGGCCUUCGGGUUGUAAAGCUCUUUCGGCAGGAACGAAACGGUGAGCUCUAACAUAGCUUGCUAAUGACGGUACCUGAAGAAGAAGCACCGGCUAACUACGCG
rnacentral:rRNA from 1 species